UCUGUCACUCCCUCUAAGAUUUCCUAAAUAACCAAAUAACACAUAUGACAGGAUCAGAGAAAAUGCCGUCUAUAUCUAGUUAAAGGAGGAAAAAAAAUUAUUAAUUUCAGUGCACAAAGCAGCUUAGCCACUAUCAGGGAGCAGUACUUACACUGUUGAUAAUUCACUGCUUGGACCUGUACACAUAUCAGAUCUGUUUCAUCUCUAGAUCCAAUUAUAGGGGAAAUAAAAUUCCAAAUAUAGGAACCAAGGACUGCAGAG
rnacentral:misc_RNA from 1 species